GAGCAUGCAAGACUACAUUUAUCUACUCCUGUAUUGACAAACAUUUGUUGUCAUAAUAAUGCUGCAGUCAGAAUCUUUAAGGUUCUUACGAUAGAUUAGUUCUGAACAAUGGAGUCUCCAAACUGUGAUUAUUGUGAAAAGUAAAUGUCUGAAGAUGGGCACUGUGUGAGAUCAUCCAAGAAUCCAGCCUCCUUUUAUGCUCUUGCUCCACCGUUCAUUUUCCUGAUCCAAGAUGGCUCACUGCCAUGUCCACGUUCCUGUCAGCAGGAGAAGGGCAGGGGAGAAGAUGGGCGCAUCCUGGUCCUUUCAGGACUCCACCCAGAAGUUGCCUGCACCGCCUCCACUCAUAGCCUGUUGUCCUGAACUUAGUCACACGAUCCAUCCUAGCUAAAAAGGAGGCUAGGAAAAAUAGUACUCAUUGGGGUGGCCAGGUGCCCACUCAAAACCAGGAUGUCCAAGGGGAGAUUGGAUAAUAAGCAACUCUGUGAUAAGACCUUCCAAAAGAACAGUCAAUAAUGUCAGCAAUAUUUAUAAAAUAAACCAUUUCCCAUUGAAUUAAAAUGCCAUUCUUGUGUUUAUUAAGGCCCACAUGUAAUUGGAUCUGUUUCUAGAUGCUAAUCUGUUCCACUGUUAUAUUAAAAUAACUUUACAAUAAUUGUUAGCUAUUCUUGUAUUAAUUUAUAGUUCUUGAUUUUAGUAGUUUAUCUUUUGUUAACUGAUUUAAGCUAUUUGAUUUAUACAGAGAUCAAGUUAAAGAUGGUCAAACAUUUUGUAAAAACCAGUUUGUCCCGGCACUUGGAUAUUAUAAUUUGAGGCAGAGAUCAUUUUCUUAGUGCUGAUUUUUUGAUGUUAAGAAGCGUCUCCGCCCACCAGUGACUACAACUAAGAGGUCACACAUCCGUUUCAUCAUCAUAGCCUUAGAGAAAAAGAAAACAUCAUGACCACAGCAGGGUUCUGGCGACAGGAAACGGCAUUUCCCAGGGUAUUAGGCAUCCGGGACUCGCCUUAUCAUCCAUUUCAAAAUAAUGGGUGUGAGCCAGCGACAGAAUGAGGCCUGGUGGUUAGAUAAAUUCCCAAGUUGAUGGGAAAUUAUCGAAGGGCUCUCCCAGCUCCUGUCUCCCGCGCAUCGACCAUCUGAAGCGCAUGCGCGUGGUUCAAUUAGCGUCUUAACUGCUAGCAGUGCCUCUCCGCCAUUAUCUCCUUCCACCGGGCCUCAGUCCCUCUUUUAUAGAGGAAAGAUGUGCGCAAGUCUAUGCCUUAUCCUCAAAAGUGCCUUCCUUUGACUUUAUAGCAAAGAAAAGCUAAUUGAUCAAAAGAAGCUGCACUUGGGAUUCCAUUCCGUUCCACCCUGCUAGUGUAUAUCCUUGGCCUUUCUUUAAAACCUAAAUACAGCCUCUCUUCCACGAAGGCUUGCUUGGUUUCCAGGACUCUCCACAGCGGAAUAAGCUAGAAGGAUCUUAGAGAUCUACAGGCAGGUUCUCAACCCUCACUUCCUCUGUCCCCUGAGAAGCUUCUAGCAGGUACCUCUGCCAGCACUCCUCCCCCAGAGUCUGACCAGGAGGUCCGAGAUGGAGCCUCAGCUCUUGAUUCUUUUAACUUCCACGGCGAUUAUGAGCAGCAGAGAGGGUGGGCAACUAUUCGACUAGGCCAACCCCUUCACUUAACAAAGGAGGGUAUUGAAACCACACGACACCUACAAAGAUAAUCAUGUGCUCCUUAGGAGAAGCCAGCUCCUUCAAGGCAGGGAUUUUGUCUCCUUCGCAGCUCUAUUUCCAGCACCUAGAACUGUGCCUACUUAGCAUGUGGUAGAUUUGAAUGAAUGAAUGGAAUGAAUGAGUGAAUGAAUGAAUGAAUCCAUGAAUGAGUGAAUCCAUGUGAUACCAACUUUAAACUAGAAAACUGGAUCCUGGUCCAGGAUAUGACACCAGGGCCUUCCUUUGCUGGAGGCUAAUCCAUGACUAGUUCUCCGGUGUGUUCACCGUGAUUGCUUGGCUUGAUAACCAGUGUUCCUUGUGACGGCCUCUGCUCUGAGUCCUCAUCCUCGCCGCCUCCCAGGCUCUGUAAUUGCUCUGCAUCAUAGGAGGUCAUGAUUGGUCGGAGUCCACCUUGGGUGCCCGGAAUGGCCCCUGUUGGAGCACACACCUUAAGGAGUGCCCCGGGCCAGGUCAGGGAGGAAAGGUCAGGGGCGUGGAGG
rnacentral:lncRNA from 1 species